CCCCAGGCCUGAAUUCUGCCAGCCACCACCUGUGUGCCCAGGGUCUGCCCGCUGCCGUCUUGCACACCUGGGGUGCCUUGCAUGCCUGGUGCCACAGUUUUUUGUGCUGAGACCCCU